AUGAGCAAAUUAUCAAUUGACU
rnacentral:miRNA from 1 species